GACGAACGCUGGCGGCGUGCUUAACACAUGCCAGUCGAACGGAAAGGCCCUGCUUUUGUGGGGUGCUCGAGUGGCGAACGGGUGAGUAACACGUGAGUAACCUGCCCUUGACUUUGGGAUAACUUCAGGAAACUGGGGCUAAUACCGGAUAGGAGCUCCUGCUGCAUGGUGGGGGUUGGAAAGUUUCGGCGGUUGGGGAUGGACUCGCGGCUUAUCAGCUUGUUGGUGGGGUAGUGGCUUACCAAGGCUUUGACGGGUAGCCGGCCUGAGAGGGUGACCGGCCACAUUGGGACUGAGAUACGGCCCAGACUCCUACGGGAGGCAGCAGUGGGGAAUAUUGCACAAUGGGCGGAGGCCUGAUGCAGCAACGCCGCGUGCGGGAUGACGGCCUUCGGGUUGUAAACCGCUUUCGCCUGUGACGAAGCAUGAGUGACGGUAAUGGGUAAAGAAGCACCGGCUAACUACGUG
rnacentral:rRNA from 1 species